rnacentral:ncRNA from 1 species
UUAACGACUAUGAUAAGGACUAGUAGUGUGUAACUCAUCAAAAAAAGAGAGACAGUGGUUGGUGAAAACUGUUGAUGAUGUACAUAUGAACUCACCUUGGAUGUUGCUGUAGUGAACUUAAGUAACUAUUGCCGUUUCAUCAACGUUAUCGAUGUCAAGUGAGUGUCUUCAUAGACGCUAAUUUGGGUGGUACCGCGGGAAAUAAAAGCUUCUCGUCCCUGUU